rnacentral:lncRNA from 1 species
CCAGUUGAAAAGCCUCAGACCCUAGGGAUUGGAUGGCUUGUCCAUACUUUUGGGUAGCCAGCUCAUCUAGAACCCCUAAAAAACAUUCCAAGGUGGUAGAAUGUGUUUUUACGCGAGGUCUCUAAGCUUAGUCUUAGGGAAGAGACUCAACCAAACUUUCCCACAAGUAGAUAUUAUAAGGCUAGAAAACCAGAUGCUCAGAGACACGCAAGAAACUUGUGUCCAUGAAGAUGAAGAUAGAUGGUUGAACACGAAUGAAGAACAUACCUAGGCAACUUACUGAAGCAGAGGAUCUCAAGAACAAUCCUAC